rnacentral:tRNA from 1 species
CAAAUUAUGCUUAAAGUUAAGAAUUUCAUUUACACUGAAAAAAUAUUGUGCAAUUCAAUGUAAUUUGA